GUUGCAUAUAUGAUAGUUGCUCCAUGUACCAUGUACUGCACUUUGUAUACAGCGAUGGCUGUUUGCAAGUGCUCUAAAAUACAGUUAAGGUUCAUUUUCAAGUGCAGCGAUUCAAUUCACUUGGAUUGAGUGGGAUUGCAAUUUGGUUCGAUAUGGGACGGCUGUAGCUUUUGUCAUGUUCAGUAUUAUAUAAAAACGUGAAUUAAAUAGAAAGAAACAACAAAUCAUCAGCACCUUCAAAACGAUUUAUAGCUGGUGUGCAUCGCUCGUGCAAGACAAUGCGAUUCAUUUCUUGAUACAUGCGCUGCAGUAUGAUUCAAGGAGGGUACAGUUUAAAAUGUCAAGAUUGGAUUAGUUUCAGUGGAAUAUAAGAUUUUCCAAUUCUAAUCUGUUUUCACCCUUAUCGGUUCACACAACCUCAUAUUUGGCGUUACCACCUUUGUUACCAUUAAUGUUCCGGACAGAUACUCCUAACGCCAGCGGGUGUGUUUAAAACCUGGUUGGACUGAGGCUGACAAUAACCCGAAUUUAUGACUCUGUCGUUUUCAGUGUCACCGUGCUGCAAUUUAUAACAUUUUGUACCAAAUGAGACUUGAUUAAAUAUUCAAACAUAAACUUGGAGGAGCUGUGUGUUUAUGUGUAUAGUAUAGAGCAUUUUCAUUCUGACAGCUGAAGUGAGGAUGACAAGAUAGAGACACAGAAAACUAAACGCCUGACAAAUUGUCAUGAUUCCGGUCAGCAUAAAAACAUGUGACUCCAUGACUUUCCAAACUCCUGGAGACUCAUUCAUCCCCAGAAAGACACGCUUGGAGGCUGGAUGUGUGUGUAUUAGCCCGGCUCACAGCGGACUGUAUACCUUGCUCUGAAUACAAGCUGACAUAUCCAUAUAAAGACAUGUUUUAUUUGCCCUUAAGACACGAUGAACCGGGCAUUGAUGCAAACACAGUGUACACACAGGAUACACCGCAAUCCUCUCCUCCUUUUUCAUAGCGUUUCAUUUAUCUGAAAGUGAGGCGAAAGAAUACAGCAUCAUAUUUGAUGUGCUUAAUGUCCCUCUCAUUUUGUUUGAUUUUUGGAAAAGGCCCUCCCUCAUGCUCCUGUACCCUUUUAAGCUCUCCGCACUGAAGUGCUCUUCAGCGUCAAUUAUACAACUGCGUCAGUGUCAUGUAAAAUUCACAUGUAUGAAGAAAGAUGAGCUCACAUUGGGUCCCUCCUAGAGUUCGAGCGAUGUGUCCAUCCUUGGAAGUGAUUCACUAAACAGCACGCAGGACGAGCACCAGGCCUGCUGUGGUCCAGACUCCAUGCUUUACACAUUCCACUUUUUGGUGUUCUCGACUGUAAUCUCUCGCACAGAAGGUGAGAAUGAUGGAGUGGCCAUGCAGCACAACCACUGCCUGGACAUCUAUAGGCAGUUUUGCAUGAAGUGAUUACCGAGCUGCCUUUGGGUGCGUUCCCUGUAAAAUAACACAAGCACACAAAUGGUGUUCAUGAUUGAAUAGCUUGUAUGUAACUUGCUUUUAGUGCAAUUUGUUUUUGAGUUUUUCUGAGAAUGAAGUGGAAGGGGCAGAUUGGUAGGCUUUGGUGUUUGUUGUUUUCAUUCUGUCUACAUUUGUUGCUUUUGACAGCCAGUUGGGCAUGUAUGGCUGCCAUUGCAACGGGUUCCCUUGUUGCGCUUCAAAGUGCAGGUGAACAAUGAUGCAAAGCGUACUGCGAAAAAAAACAGAAAUUUUGAAGGCAAUAGAGUGGAAAGUUUGCAACGACCGAGUCAAUCUCCUGAUAUGAAUCGGACUGAAAAUGCAUCUCAAUUGCUGAAGACAAAACUGAAGGAAAACUUUCCAAUAAAAACAGGAACUGAAGACUGUUGCAGUAGAGACCUUUCGGAGCAGCUCACCAGGGAUGCAAUCUGGUAUAUAUAUAUAUAUAUAUAUAUAUAUAUAUAUAUAUAUAUAUAUACACACUGUAUGUGUAUGUGUGCGUGUGUACAUACACUCUAAACUGUUGUAAUUCCUACACCGGCCACCUGUUUUUGCUGCAAAUCAAAUUAAAAGGUGUGAAACAGCAAAAAGUCUGCAUUUAAAUCUUUGAUUUCAAAUCCAUUCUCGUGGAAUUGUGUCUGUGUCGUUAUAUCUGUGUACCUGACUGUACUUGCCACUUUGCAGCGCUUUGCAGAACACGCUGCGUGGUGUCUCAUGCGCAAGCAUUGAGGUACUUUCCUUGGCAGGUUUAUUCAUGAAGCAAGUUCAUUAUAGUUCAUAAGGGUACGACAUGCUAUGUUUUUCAAUUGACCCAUUGUCAAAAGUUUUAAUGGGUGCUGAAAUAAUUUUUUUGGCAUCCUUUGCUGGUGGACAACACUACCACAGUGUUAAAUUCAUGGUGCGUUGGAGCUUGGCACAUUCUGAUCCGACUACCUUUGCGAUCCUGCCUCCACUUUUCCGUGGAGAGAGGCUUUUCAGGCCAUGUCUUAAUGUUCCUGAACUUUACCUCUUUUUGGAAAUAUGUUUUAUGAACUCAUUCCUCACCCAUCAAUUACUCAUCUCAGCUUCGAUUUUACUUCUCUUUCUCAACUAGUAUUAAUCAUAUCAUAUCCUGAGACUGCUUCUGUAUUUUUAGGUCUGCAAUUUAUGUUUCAAUUAUUUUAGUUUUUACAGUGUUAGCUCUGCGACGGUUUUGAAUCAUUUUUGGUACCUUGGUCUAACUGAUUAAUAUCUUUUCAUCAAUAUUUUUUAUUGUCAGUUAUUCCUGAGAGGCAGCACUGGGAGCUUCGGCACUGCCCUUAACUUGCGUGGUCCCAGCUCUUGGUCUGGGCAGGCUUUUCGCUGCCGGGGCCUCCGAGCUUGUGGUUGCGCAGACGGCUCCUUGAGAUGGUGUUUUCUCACCUGGAUGUUCUGUGCGCAGCCAUGGGUUCUUUUGGGGUCAUUAAGUUGUUAUUUUAAAUGACACUGAAAAGAAAUGGUGUGUUGAACUUUGUGUGCAACCACCUGACAAAAUAAAAUUAACAAUCACACCACGUUAAUCCAGAUCCAUUUAUUAAGUAGAUCUACUUUGAGUGCAUUUUUUUUUUUUGUGCGCGUGUGUGUGAUGCGUGUGUGAGUUUAUGACUGAUUGUUGGAGGGGUUGAUUUUCCUUCGUGUAAACCACUUUGAGUUGCAUUACAUGUAUGAAUAGAGCUACACAAAUAAAGUUGGACUAAUUUAUUGGUUUACAGAUCGCCCUGUAAAGGCUUCAGUGAUUGUUCGAGAAGCUCGUGUGUAUACAUCGCAAACUUUUUCCUCUCUUGAAGUGUGUACAUGUAGACAGUUGUCUGUGAUUCGUCUUUGUGAAUGAGGUGAUCGAGUCAGUGUGGAAGUGCCUCUUAAGCAAAUGAAAUAAAAUUAAUUUAUUAAAUUGAUUAAAAUAGGAGUUGGUGGGCUCUGACCUUCAUCAGGAUUUCCCCAUACAACACGACCCCCUUCCCAAUGACAUGCGUAACAUUAUCACUAAUGAGCUGAGUGGAGUACUGUACUGGGAGGGAAAAUAGCCGAUUCACUCCACCUGGUUUGAUUCGCCAGCUAGAGCAAAGAAGAGCAAAUAUUUGCAAAUAAUUCGAUGGGAAUUAUUGUUGCAGGGAUUUGUGAUCGGCUUGAUGUAGAUCGUCCCAAGUCGAUUGUCUCUGCAAUUAUAACAUUCCACAUUAGAGCGAAAUACGUGGGGAUAUUUAUGACUCGAGUUGCACAGAAAGAGACCUGUGUGUGUUCUGCUCUUUCACUGGUCUUUAUCGCUUUAAAAAUAUGGACUACCGUCAGGCUUGAUGUCGCGCAGUCCGACCUCUCCUCAGUGAGCAUCGAAGCUCUUGGCAUGAGUUUAGUUGUUUCUUUCUGGGUUUGCUUUUUACAUUUUUAUUUUGCAGCAGGUAUUACAAAGAAGGACCACGAUGAGCAGUAUUCUGAAGACCUUAGUGUUCCACCCUUAGCGGUACGGAUCUGGCUGAAACCAAAGCAUGUUUGUAUUGUUAUGAAAGCUCAUGGCAAGUGUUUUUGAUUUGUACAUGUUGUGCAAUUCUCAGCAGUUAGGCAAGCUCAUUAACAUUGUCUGGCAAACAAAUUGUCUUUAGGGUAUCUUUUUAAAUCUGAAACUUCAGUCUACAGAGUGGUGUGAGAGAAUUGUGGAGGAAAAGAAUCAUGGGAAUAUUUUUAUACAGACGGCGAUCGGAGGCGACUAUUUGCCGGAUCAGUGCAAUCUGAAAACAAAGAGGUGCUUCGGCGUUGCGCAGACUUAUCAGUCAAGGUUCAUUCAUUCAUUCAUUCAUCUUCCGAACCGCUUGAUCCUCACUAGGGUCGCGGGGGGUGCUGGAGCCUAUCCCAGCUGUCUCCGGGCAGUAGGCGGGGGACACCCUGAAUCGGUUCCCAGCCAAUCGCAGGGCACACAUAGACAAACAACCAUCCACGCUCACACUCACACCUAGGGACAAUUCAGAGUGUUCAAUCAGCCUGCCAUGCAUAUUUUUGGAAUGUGGGAGGAAACCGGAGCACCCGGAGAAAACCCACGCAGGCCCCGGGAGAACAUGCAAACGCCACACAGGGAGGCCGGAGCUGGACAUUCUAGUUACUUUUCCUCUUUAUUCGUCUAUGACCCAUUCUUUUAAUGCUCAUACCAAGGCCUUGCCUCCAGAGUGAACUGUACCUCCCAGGCGUGUGAAUACCCACAAUGCAACACACUGUUAAUCUUAUUGUCUACUGACGAAUCAUUAUCAUUCUGCAGUAUGCGUCACUGCUGAGAAGAGAGCCCAAACCAGACGUGGCUAAAUGCUUGAAUGCUGCUUAAGCUUGUCAGAUAUGAAUGAGCGGGAGGACACAGAAGCUUAGUGCCAGUUUGUUGGUGUGCACCAUUGAAAGGAGUGUGGCUCUCUUGAUUAUAGAUAAGUGUCUGUGUCUCGACAAUAUUUUAGCGAUAUUCUGGUUGGUUUGAGGGGACCAAUCCUCUCCCUCUGUAAAGUUAAAUUAGUCGAGUUUAUGGAAUCAUUUCCAGUUAAUACUUGCAAAGGCGGUUCCUUAAUCUGCCAUGAUUCCCUGUGCAGCAUGGAUUUACUCGCUUAAGAAUACCCUGAUUGCUCUUCUAUCGCAUAUAUUAACUUUUACCCUCCUCUUGUGUUAAAAGCGGGGGCCUAAUUUAUUUCCACUCCAAUGGUAUCCCGGGUGCUGCGGAGCGGUGUUUGGGCUGAAGAACAAGAAACGGGGGUAGAGGGGAAGGAGGAACAUUCAGGGCCCAGGAUUUAAUUUCCGCUUUGGACCGUGAGAUAAGUCAAGUUUAAUGAGGUGACAGAGUGAGACGGGCGAGGCAGACGGGCAACAAGAGAGCCGGGGCACGCAGAACAGGGCAAGGGAGAGGAAGAAUGUUAAAAGGGUGAGUGGAAGACGGCGUGAAGAUGGGAUAUCCUCCACAUUUGUCGGCUACGAGGGCGACGUGUUCACUGUCCUGCACAUUUGAAUGGUUUCAUAUUUUCAUUUUUUUACAUACACAGAGUUCCCGGCGUAUGUACUGUAUAUACCAGUGGCAUGCCAUCAGGGCCUGAAGGCUUUCUCUGCUGCAGGUCUAAACACUAUCGGAAGCAUUCAUCUCCCUUCAGAACUUCCUGUCCGUGCAUUUAUUUCCAAAAGUCUCAGAUCUGCAUUGCAAAGCGUAUCUUCGUUGCCCAGCUUCCAGUGGUGUUUGAUUUUUUUUUUUUUUGCCCUGUGUCAUUUCAGCUUCUAUGUUUUGCCAAGUCAAUGGAAUCUUCCCAGGGCCUGCAAUGUUAAUUGCAAUUCCAGCAUUCUCAUUCAUGCAACAGUGUUCACCUUUUGAAGAUUUUGCCCACACAUGAACAAUGUAUAUUUUGUUUAAGUGAGUCAAUAGUUUUUCACCUAACCAAUUCUCCCCUUCUAACUUGGCCGCCUGCGAUGUGUUGGCUAAAGAAGCUGAAUUGGGCAGAAAAUGCCUUCUCUUUCUCUGUUUUCAGCUACUGCAGGUCUUCGUUGCUAACGCAGUGGCAAAUUGAUGACGAGAAUCCUUGGUCAUAAAUAUAAACCGGUCAAAUGAAAAGCAGUAACGUGACAAAAUCGUUCAUUGCAUCUUUAUUUUAUCUUCACAAUGUCGUAAUGUCAAUCGUUCCUCCAAAUAAGACUCAAAAUGUUUCAUCUGCAUCAUAUCAAGCCAAUCAUUGGAAUCAACUAAUUCCGGGAUAAAGAGUCCAGCAUUUCAUAUCUGUAAUUACAAUUGAUAUUCCUGUCUGUCUGAGGUGCUAUGUGAGCCCGACUCCUGCACAGGUUAAAUUGUAGUUGAAAGAGGGUGAAAGGUCACUCAGUGAGAUUAAGUAGCUCUCCUGCUGCUGCUGGUUGCAUAAAUCGCCACACGGACCUCUCCAUGGUGCUGAAAGUAGCAUGGCUGCUUCCGUUCAUUGUUCCCGCUUCAAGACAGUUUGGAGUUGUAUUGACAACAUUCACGUGAUGGCAAGGCGGCAAUAAAUCCUUCCUUUAUUAGAUCCUGCGUAUUGAUCUCUUUUCUCUCCCGUCAGACCUCUAAUUCUAUCUUCCCAUCUCUGUUUUCCCCCUCUCUGUUGUCUCUUGCUUUUUCAUUCGGAGCAAAAUGUCAGGCGCUAUCUCUGUCUCUUUGCUGACUGCUUUGUGGAGAAGAGGGAGUUUGGGUGGGGGGUUGUUUUAUGAACCCAUUUCGGUAGUUUCAGGUCAGUUGUUGGACUAAAUACCAUCACGUCAGUGAUUGUGGCAUCAAUACCACUGAGGAAUCGGAAAUAAUAGUUGCUUUUUUUGUCACUUGUGACGUUAUCUCAGAAAAAAAUAUCCAACCAAAUCAUGCAGGCCCACACCAUUGAUGGUUUGUGUUUAUUUCUCUUGAAACACAUUCAUCUAAAUGAAUUAUUUCCCUUGCCUCUCUUGAUACUGAUACUGUGUUACAUUUCCACAGGAUCAGGAAAUGCUUAACAGGUGGAAAGUAAGCUUGAGUGAUUUCCCACACGACUUUGUGUUUGUGUACUGUGUGCACACCUGCGAUAAAGUUCCCUUGAGAUGUGACUUGUGAUGUGUGAUGACACGUCUAAGUGUGUGUAUGCGUGUGUGCAAGUGCGUUUGUGUAGGUGUGGCUGGGAUGGUAAUCUGCCUGUCACGCCAAGACCGAGUCCUGCAGGGAAAAUCCUGUUAUGACUGGAGUUCUCCAGAGGCCUAUCCAGAAUGACUUCUAUUUUUUCUAUUUCCUUUUUGUUCACCUCUUCUUACCGGUGUUGGUAAUAGCAUCGUUCAAACUAACUGCACUCAUGUCAUGUCUCUUAAUUGCAACACUCCUCAAAACUUGAACGCGAGCCGGAAGAUGUUCUUACACAUUAAGGAGCACUCAAUUGACUCAAAUGCUCAUCGAGUGGCGAGGACCAAACAUCCACGAGCUACCUUAAUUCAAGGGAUGACUGCUUGUUCUCUGCGGAAGUCCUGUAUGAAAACGGGUGUGCACCAGCAGGAUUCUCAGUGAUGCAGAAUUUCAAAUUUUCUUGUUUGUGUCAUUUCUUAAUUAUCCAUCCAUUUUUUGAACCGCUUAAUCCACACUAGGCUCACGGGGGGUGCUGGAGUCUAUCCCAGCUGUCUUCGGGCAGUAGGCAGGAGACACCCUGAACCGGUUGCCAGCCAAACGCAGGGCACACAGAGACAAACAACCAUCCACGCUCACAUUCACACCUAGGGACAAUUUGGAGUGUUCAAUCAGCCUACCAUGCAUGUUUUUGGAACGUGGGAGGAAACCGGAGCACCCGGAGAAAAGCCACGCAGGCCCGGGGAGAACAUGCAAACUCCACACAGGGAGGCCAGAGCUGGAAUUGAACCCGGUACCUCUGCACUGUGAAGUCGACGUGCUAACCACUGGACUACCGGGCUACACAUUUCUUCAGAAUCAGAAUCAUCUUUAUUGGCCAAGUAUGUAGAACACACAAGGAAUUUGUCUCCGGUAUUACACACUGCGUUAGUAUCAUCGUAAACAAGGACAUGACAAAUAUGUAUGCAAGGACAUUUCGUAAUGUAAGUGAACUGUAGUGCGGUGGUACCACCCAGUGACAACUGUGAGACAAUGUGCAAAGUAUCAAGCAAAGCUAAAGUGAUCAGUGGUAGAAUACAAUACUAUGACAGUUUGUACAGUUGGUGCAGAAAAUCAUUGAACCAUUUUAGAGUGACCGGUAGCACUAUUUGUUGUAGUAUUUGUUCUUAAUUAUUUUACUUUGAAUAAACUUAAUUUGCUGAAUGUCUGUUCUCUUUGAAUGAAGUACUUGAUACCAGAAAGACUUGAAAGACAGAAAGACAAAAUAUUGAGAACGUCCAGAAAAUUGAAGCACUUGGGAACAGAAUCAUGAGCAAGGCUUAAUAAUCCGACAGCGAGUUGUCAGCGUGGCAUGGCAUUUAAAGCAGAAGGGGAUGAUGCUUGAUUUGAGCCCGGUGAGGCUCAUGGGGGAAACUCCCACACCCCAGCCGGAGACUGAAAGACAACACAAACAAGACAGGAUGAUGACAAAACCUACUUUUAAAACCAACAAAUGCUGAGGUUUACUGUAUAUACAAUUGCUUGUCCAUUCUACUCAUUUCAAAUGGCAACCUGCUUGAAAGAAAAGAAAAAGAAACUAUUUUUUUCAAACAGUGAAUACAGGCAUUUGCCUGGUAACUCGUUACUUUUAUUUUAAAUUAAUUUCAUUACUCACCCAGUUAAUUUUGGGGCAGUCAUUAAAGUAAUGAAUGAGCAACUAUAACUAAUUCCUUUUAUAAAGAAAUGCUCCCAACACUGCUUCUUGCCUCCACACAAACCUGCUUGUUAAAGACACGUUGAUACCUUUGCUUAUGAGAAUUUGUUCUGUGAACAAGCCUGUAAUUUAAAGUGGAGAGAAGAAACCACAAUCAAUGGCUUCUACCGGUAGCUCCCUUUCACACAUAGCUCACACUGUGUACAUCUGUACGCACACCCGUGGAGCCCAGUGGGGUGGUUGUCAAUUGGACAACCUCGGCUUGACUCUCUGUUCAAACCAGAACUCAAACACGUGAACACACUUUCACUCAAUAUAUUCUGUAAACACACACACACGCACACACGCACUGCCUAAGGGCCGUCAUUUGUCUUCUGUUGUCCAUUAAUAUAGAGGUACGAUGCAACUGAGAGAAACCGGAAUGUCCAAAUGAGAGGAAGACAUACAGAGAUCUAGUUUGUGAAUUGCUGCAGGUUAGAAAAAGUAUGAGAGACAGAGGAGAGAUGUCUGCAGGAGUUUGCGUGGAGCACAGUUUCCGCCCUUGCGUCUCCCCUGUGUUGAAGUGAGUUGUAACAGACAGCAAGGCCCAAUGUUGCAAAGGCCAACACGCUCUCGGCAUUUGCAUGAUCAGUUGUCCACUUGUAUCUUCUUCACAGCUGUCAGGGUUACACUCUACAGGGCAGACCCUGGCAUUUCUGACUGUCCAGUUAGGCCUGAACACGCGCGCACACACACACACACACACACACACACACACACACACACACACACACACACACACACACACACACACACACACACACACACACACACACACACACACACACACACACACAUACAAA